rnacentral:ncRNA from 1 species
UUUAUGGAGAGUUUGAUCCUGGCUCAGGACGAACGCUGGCGGCGUGCCUAACACAUGCAAGUCGAACGGAGAGUUAGCAAUAACUCUUAGUGGCGAACGGGUGAGUAACGCGUAGACAACCUGCCUCUAAACUGGGGACAACACCGCGAAAGUGGUGCUAAUACCGAAUGUGGUAACUUGGCUGCAUGGCUGAGUUAAGAAAGAUGGCCUCUACCUGUAAGCUAUCGUUUAGAGAUGGGUCUGCGUCUGAUUAGCUAGUUGGUGAGGUAAAGGCUCACCAAGGCGACGAUCAGUAGCCGGUCUGAGAGGAUGAACGGCCACACUGGGACUGAGACACGGCCCAGACUCCUACGGGAGGCAGCAGUGGGGAAUCUUCCGCAAUGGACGAAAGUCUGACGGAGCAACGCCGCGUGAGUGAAGAAGGUCUUCGGAUUGUAAAGCUCUGUCG